UGGAUUCCUAAGCUUGCACCAGGCUGUGAAAAUGGGCCCAAAGCGGGUUGCAAAGUUACGCGGAUGAGAAAACUCAGGCUCAGAGAGGUUAAGUGACUUGCUCAAGGUCACACAGCAGGAGGCGGACAUUAUUAUCAGUCCAUAUCGCAGAUGAAGGAACAGAGGCAGAAGGAAUUGAAG